rfam:Felis catus isolate Cinnamon breed Abyssinian chromosome B3, whole genome shotgun sequence.
GCCUGUCUGGCUCAGUCAGUAGAGCAUGUGACUCUUAAUUUCAGAGUUGUGAGUUCAAAUCCCAUGUUAGGCA